UACAGAGGUCUCGAGCGUUUAGGCGGAAUCACUGGGCUUAAAGCGUGUGUAGGUGGAUGCCUAAGUACCUUGUGAAAUCCCACAGCUUAACUGUGGAACUGCUUGGUAUACUGGGUGUCUUGAGUCACUCAGGGGCGAGCGGAACAAAUGGUGGAGCGGUGAAAUGCGUAGAUAUCAUUUGGAACGCCAAUGGUGAAAACAGCUCGCUGGGGGUGUGCUGACACUGGAGACACGAAAGCCCAGGGGAGCGAACGGGGAUUAGAAACCCCGGG
rnacentral:rRNA from 1 species